UAGGGAUAACUUUAUUUUGAUUUUAAUUGACUUUUCCUCAGUGUUGAACGUCUUUCCACUUAGUGUCAUCUAGAUAUUCUCUUGGGAAAAUGUCUUUUUAUGUGUUUUGUCAUUUUCUAAUUGGAUUGUUUAAUCACUGUUGAAUUUUGAGAGUCUUUAAUGUAUAUUAGAUACUAGACCUUUGUUGGCUAUGUGGUUUACAAAUAUUUUUCUCUCUAAAGACUCUUCAUCAUUUUGGCUUUUGCAGAGCAAAAGUUUAAUAACGUUGGAUUGAGUAGUUUUUCUUUUAUGGAUCAUGCUUUCGGUGUCAGGUCUAAGAAUUUGUUGCCUAGCUGUAGAUCCUGACAACUUUUCUCCUGUUUCUUCAAGCUUUUAGUUUUCACUUUAAAGUGAAAAACUAAAAGUUGCACAAUAAAGUCCCUCAUAUAUGUAGAGUUAAUUUUUGUAUAUGAUUGAGGUUCUUUUUUUUUACCUGUGGAUGUACAAUUGCUUCAGCACUGUUUUUCAAAAAGGCACUUUUUACCUUCCUUCAAAAUGUUUUUGCAUUUUUGUGAAAAAUCAGAUGAGCUUAUUUGUGAGUCUUAAUUUUGGGUUUUCUAUUGUUUCAUUGAUAUUGAUAUCUGUCAACUAAAAACAUAGAGUCUUUAAUUACUAUAGCUAUAUAAUUUUAAAAUCAGAAUAAUCCCUCUUUUUCAAAAUUAUUUUAGCUAUUUUGGUUCCUUUGCAUUUUUAUAUAAACUUUAGCAAUUCUUAUCUAUAACAAAAAAAAACCUUGCCGGGCUUUUUGCAUUAAUGAAUUGCAUUAAAUCUGCAUUUCAUUUUUGGGAGAAUCGACAUCUUAACUGUGUCGUCCUCAAGUCUAUGAACAAGAUUUGUCUUUGCCACUUGCUUACAUCUUCUUUGAUUUCUUGCAUUAGCAUUUCUUCGUUUUUGGCAUAUGAGGCCUGUUCGUGGUUUUAAUUUUGGUGUUUGUGUGUUGUUCAUUACUAGCAUAAAGGAGUUUUGUAUGUUUGUACCCUGGGACUUUGCUGCUAGAGGGCCACCACUGCUGCAUUGUAAAUCUAAAGCCAUUGGCCCUGAGGAAGGAAGAAAAUGAACGAGAGUAACUCAGAUGUAAGUAGGUUUUUUGCUAAAGAAUGGUGGUAGUAGAAAUGCCUUUUGAUUUUAAGAACUUUUGAGGGCUGUAAAUAUGUUUUUUAUUUCUAGUUUGAAUACGUCACUUUUCAUUUUACAUCUUGUAUUUCCCUCAGACCUAGAGCCACCCUUCUCUCCAGGAAGCCCUGGGUUCUUUUAGGGGAGAAUGAUAUUUAAGAGCCAAGAUUUGGGCUCUCUUGCAACCGGUCACUUAUUACUUCAAAACAGCUGGAAGAGAACAGUGAUUAGAGCUAGCAAAUGAAAAUAAUUAUUGGUACACCUGGAUAUUUCAAAGCUGAUGGUUUUUAACUUUGUAACUCCUUUCAUUUUAUACUUUUAUCCCUUUUACUUACAUUGCAAAUAAUUAUUCCUUAAUAAUAAUGCUUUAACCCUAAAAUAUACAUAAAGUGUUCCAAAAUUACAGUACCAAUAUUAGUAAAAAUAAAACUACUGAAUAAAGCUCAAGAAAUUUUUGCAGGUUUUUUUUUUUUUUUUCUUCUUUUUAGGGCUCCACGCAUGUCAUAUGGAGGUUCCCAGGCUAGGGGUGGAAUCAGAGCUGUAGCCACUGGCGUAUGCCAGAGCCACAGCAACGCGGGAUCCGAGCCCCGUCUGCAACCUACACCACAGCUCACGGCAACGCCGGAUUCUUAACCCACGGAGCAAGGCCAGGGAUGAGACCUCCGUCCUCAUGGAUGCUAGUCAGAUUUGAGCCAUGAUGCGAGCUCCCUUGCAGGUGUUUUUAAGAUGGGAAUCUUUUCACUAUAUACUACCAAGAAAGUACAGAGAGUACUGAGUUGAAAAUUAUUUUGGGAGAGUUCCCUUUUGGUGCAGGGGGUUAAGAUCUGGCAUCAACACUGUGGAGGUUCCUGUCACUUGUGUGGCAAGGGUUUGAUUCCUGGCUUAGGAACUUCCACAUGCUGCAGGUGUGGCCAAAAUUAAAAAGCUUCAUUAAACAAUUCUUUGUGUAGAUAUUUUACCAAUUUGAUAUACAUAUUGGUUUACUUAACUCCAUGUCUUUACAUACUAUGUUUCUUAUUUAAUUCUCUGUGUUUGUGUGUGUAUAUAUAUUUUUAGGUUCAGAAGCCAAAAUUAAAAUUGUCUUUAGAGAUGUCUCAGUUCCAUCUCUAAUCACUUCACUCUUUCCCAGUGUCUCCUCUAUUUUUAAUUAAUAUUUUAUUGUAAAAAUAGGGAACUAAUUUUUUCUCUUAUAGAAAAGGUAGUGUCUCCUCUGUUCUCCAUCUUUUUUUAUUUCACAGUAUAUUCUCUAGUUUAUUCUAUAAUAUUACGUGGAGAUGUUCCUUACUCCUUUUUAGGGCAACAUAAGUACUGGGUAUUUUGCAUGAGUAAUUUUAUUAGAUAACUGCACAUUUCCCCUUUAUGGGGAUUUUUGUUCUGUUCUCUUAUCAGCAAUGUUUGCUGUCUUCAGUUUCUUCUCACCUUUGCCAAGCAGAGUGGAUUUCUGCUAAGUAGGUGAAAAAUGUUUCAGUGUAGUUUUACUUGACUGUUCUCUGAUGAGUAUCAUUGAGCACGUCAAGAAUAUCUGAGAGCUUUCUUUUCUGUAAACUGUUGGUUCAUGUCUUUUGCCUAUUUGUCUAUAGGUUUUGGGUACUUAGUGCUUCUCUUUUUAAAGGAAAAAGAAGGCUAUCUCUUUGGGAGAUGAAUUUGAAUAUUCUGGUUUGCCAUUUGUUUUAGGAUUAAUGCCCACGUUUGGAAAAAGUUUUUUUUAAGAGUUGUAGUCUAACUCUUUAUGCAUGUGUUCUCCAUGGAAAAGUUAGGGAUUCCUUUUCAUGUCUGCAUUCUCUAGCUACUCACCUUUUUGGGCUGUAUUUCAAAAUAGCUGUCACUAAUAGUGCCUUAUUCCAUCCGGAUCCUGUGUUGAUUAACUUUCUUAGCACAUUCCAGAAAACCACAGAGCGCCUCUACUGCCUUUUUGUCUAUCAUAAACUUGUCAUUGGUGAAACAAUUGCCCAGUGAUGUUAACUCUUUUUUUGGGGAUGGCAUUCAUGCCACCUUUUCCCCUCUGUAUUUGUAAUACAUUUCUGUAGUCUGUAUUCCCUGGAUCUCUUGUCUAGACCAGCAAUUUACAAUCCCUUUCUGCAAAAGGCCUGAAGUAAAUAUUUUAGACAUUUUACAGAUUAUAAAUCUUUGUCACAAUUACUCAGAUUUGUGGCGGCCGAAGACAAUAUGUAAAUGAAUGUCACGGUUCUGUUCUAGCAAAUUUUUAUUUGCAAAAACAGGUCAUGGUGGAGGGAGAGGGAGAAGAAUGGGCAGAUUGGGCCACAUUCUGCUGACCCCUUGUUCAGGCCAUUAUAAUUUAACUCACUUUUAAUUUAUUUAAUUGCCCACUUCCCUGCCAUCAUUUUGGGUGCAUUUAAUAUCAUUUCCCCUAACGGUAAAAUCAGCUAAUAGUCUUGUACCUCUGAGGAGUUUGGUACAGUGUUUUGAUGAUAGCGGUGAUAAGAUUUUAUUUUUGAUGGACUUUUAUUACAGCACAAAGUACGUGUACAGGAAUUUUCUUUUUUGAAGAAGAUCAGAGUAGCUGGAACAUGCUUUAAUUCCUGUUAAUGGGAUGCUGAUGCCACUGACAGUAUUCUUGAGGAGGAACACUGCAGAAAGACUGUGAACCAGGGAUACCGUCGCCUUGCCGCUCCUCUCUGUGGAAGCGGUAAUUCCCAGAGUAGGAUUCUCACCGGGAAGGAGGCCUGUCGCAUGACUGCAGAUGUUACUGUCCUUACCUAAAGAGCUCCAUAAUAAUGGCUUAAUAACAAUAGUAAAUUUGAAAUAGAUAAAAAACACUUAGCUUCGUGAACUGUUGAGUUAGCUCUGUGAGUCCGGAUCAUGUCUAGGUAUCACAAAGAGAGGAACGAAUUCUCAGGCUUUUCCUUGCCGCAAACACAGCACGUCCUGUGUAAACCUGCUAUCGAUGGCAAAGACGGUUGGCCCCUUCUUCAGCUACCCUUCAAAUGACCCUUUGAAAUCAUGGAUGGCUCUGCUCACAUGUAUGGGAAACAUGUAUUCAGUUCCAGAUUUUAUCGGAGGGGUUGCAGAUUUGAUAUCUCUUAGGUUUCCACCUAGGUUUCAUGGUGUUGGAGAGGGGCAGUCAGUAGUAGGGUAUUAGGGGUUGAGUGUGAUAGAAAAUUAAAAUCUGCCCGGAAGGGUUGGACUCGUGGGACGGUGGAGUCGAAGGGAUAAACCCAGCUCCCCGGCCUCCUCUCCUGCGGGAGGAGAGGAGAGGAGGCCAGUGGAGAUGCUCUAGACUUUGGCAGGCGAUUGCGUGAACCCUUCGGGCCUCUCCAUCCUCAGCUGUCCUCCUGUUCACUUCUACUCCUAGAAAUAAAAGAAGCCUGGUGUGACCUGGCGUCUCGUCUGUGUCAGACCUCUCUGGGCGGUUAGGAGAACUGAGACAAAUGGUGUAAAGCACUUGAGGAUAGUACUUGACACGUAGUAAGAACUGAAUAAAAGUUAGCUAUUACAUGUAAAAUUUGAUGUCUGUUAAAUAAUGAAAAUAUUGCUUCUUGUCUGCUCUAUUUGCUAUAUAAAAGUCAAGACAUUUGUAAUUCUAUGAAAGUGCGUUACCCCAAAUUUUCAUCCCUUAUUGCACUAUGCUUCCUUUUGCUGCCUCAUUUAAUAAUGUAAAUAGAUUUGUUGAAACACAGUGAUGCUCAUUUGUUUAAUGUAUUUACAGCUGUUUUCACUCUACAGUGGCAGAAUUGAGUAGAUGUGGAUAGAGGUUACGUGGCUUGCAAAACAAAAGGUAAAUAUCUGUGCAUUACAGGGAAAUCUUGCCAAACCUGAUAGAUAGAUAGAUAUCUUCUGAUCCCAAGUAAAAGUAAGCAGAAAGUACUCAGUUAUAGAACAGCUUUCUGAAACUAUCAUUUAGUCUUCGUUUCUUUUAAUCUGACAUUGAAACAAAGGAUGAUGUUUAAAAGAGGAUAGUGCAAAAUACGAUGUUUAUUCAGGUUUUCUUUUAUUUGCUAUCAGAGAGCUGAUUUUAAAGAAUGACUGUAAAUUAAUAAGUCAUUACCAAUUGCAGUAAACUAUGAAUUUAGAGGUUUGACAUUGUCUUUCAUGACAAAUGAAAAACCGAAAGCAUAAAAUUCAGUUGUACCUACAUACAUUUUUUUUCAGAAUUAUUUUUCUUACAGGUAUUUCAAAAUACUGAGUCUAGUUCCCUGUGCUAUAUAGUAGGUCCUUGUUGGUUGUCUAGUCUAUACAUAGUAAUGUGUAUAUAUUAAUCCCAACCUUCUGAUUGCCCCUCCCCACCCCCCUCCCCUUUGGUAACCGUACAUUUUUCCGUCAGUGAGCCUUUUUCUAUCUUGGAAUUCAGUAUCUUUAUUUAUUUAUUUUACAUUCUGCAUAUAAGUGAUAUCAUACGAUCUUUGACUUCACUUACUAUGAUAAUCUCUAGGUCCAUCCAUGUUGCUACAAAUGGCGUUAUUUCAUUAUUUUUUAUGGCUGAGUAAUACUCCGCUGUGUAUAUGUACCACAUCCUCUAUAUUGGAUUCAUCUGGCAGUGAAGAUUUAUGUUGCUUCCAUGUCUUGGCUAUUGUAAAUACUGCUGCUGUGACCAAAGAGGUGCAUGUAUCUUUUCCAAUUAUAGUUUUGUGUGGAUGUAUUCCCAGGAGUGGGAUUGCAGGAUCACACUGUAGCUCUAUUUUCAAUUUUGUGAGGAACCUGUAUACUAUUCUCCAUAGUGGCUGCCCAAAUUUACAACCAACACUGUAGGAAAGUUCCUUUUUUCCCCACACCCUUUUCACUCUUUAUUGUUCGUGGACUUUUCGAUGAUGGCCAUUCUGACUGGUGCGAGGUGGUACCUCAUUGUAGUUUUGAUCUGCAUUUAUCUAGUAAUUAGUGAUCUUGAGCAUCUUUUGUUGUGCCUUUUGGCCAUCUAUAUGUCAUCUUUGGAGAAAUAUCUACUUAGAUCUUUUGCCCAUUUUAAAACUGGAUUUUUUUAAAAAUUUUAUUGAGCUGUAUGAGCUGUUUGUAUAUUUUGGAGAUGAGUCCCUUGUUGGUCUGAUCAUUUGCACAUAUUUUCGCCCAUCCUAUAGGUUGUAACAAUGGAUAUUUCAAGGUUGCACUGAGCCUCAUCAGCUCAUAGUACCGACUGAGAGCAUCACUUUAAAGAUGGGGAGUCAGGAGUGGUAUCACCCUCAUCCACAGGAGACAGCAGGUUAUUACCCAGUGAGCAGGACUUUUAAAACCAAGCUUGGCUUUUAACAUGUAUCAUUAUUAUUAUUACCCGAAUUUCUUACAUUCAGAGCCAUAAUAAAUGGGGUGAAAUAGGCCUAAGAUAAACUUUGGUUUUAGACUUGAUUUUAAAUUGAAAUGUGUAUGUGACUUUAGAGAGAAGGUUCUGAUAGUAUGAUUAUUAAUUUCUCAGAAGCGAAUCUGCUUCAUGAGUGUGUGGGUUUUCAGAGCAGUCUCCUUACUGGCAGGGGAAUAUCAGACAAGUGGUGUUUUUCAGACAGCAAGGCAGAUGGCUCUUUUUCUUUGUACAGGGUGUGCCAACCAAACGAGACAGCUACACAAAUGUUAACCCCUGAGGGAGCGAGGAAACAGUCGCUGUCAGUUGUUCUUUAUAAAUCUGUAACUUGACUUGAGAAUGAUGUGAGAAAAGUAAUCUUUUAAGGAAAGUAUGCAUUAAAUGCACAAGUGCAACCUGUACUCUCACUUCUCACUAAAAUAGUGGAAAAUUAUGUAAUUACUUCAAAAAGGAAGCAAACUCAUAGGUCUGACAUUUCUGGGCUAAUGUGGUGGCAUUGCUGCCCAGUUCCCGUUCAGGCAUCCAUGAAGAUGACAAAAACGGGAAAUUGCACCAUAAAGCAAAUGCCACAUGCGAAGAUCUGGGUAGAAGUAUCCUAAAUAUGGUUGGUGAAUGGACUGAGACUGGUUUGGGAUUAUAUAGCACACAUUCUGCUUCUGAACUAGGAUAGAGCAAAUGGUCCCACACAAAGCAGUACACAGUUUAAAAAUUGAUUUGCACAGCAUGCCUAACUUCGGGAAGUACGUGGGUUAUGCCGAGUGGCAAAAAUUUGCCAUCUGUAGACUUACGAGCCAGUCAUAUCAGCAUCCUUAACCUGCUGCUUUGCCCAUCUCUACUAGUUCCUGUCCAUUCAUUUUCUUCUAAAACGUAUUUCCCAGCUUGCAACCCAGUAGCAGGGGCUAGGGGAGAUGUGUGAGAGUGCCCUAUAAAUUUGAAUGCAUAUCAUUUAAAAAAAAGCUUUUUAAGUAGGAAGAUGUGGCGCACAUGUGUUUCAUGGAUUAUGUACAGUGCAUGUGACAGCUGACAGGAGUACCUCUGAGUGCAGGAAGAGCUACUUUCUCCACAUGCUCGCAUUAGAGGGAAUGUCUUGUCACGCAUCAACAAUCGAGCUGAGAGGACAGCACAUCGCUUAUUUCAGUCUGAGAGGGAGAAGCUGCCAACAUUCAGUGGAC
rnacentral:lncRNA from 1 species